rnacentral:rRNA from 1 species
GACGAACGCUGGCGGCGUGCCUAAUACAUGCAAGUAGAACGCACAGUUUAUACCGUAGCUUGCUACACCAUAAACUGUGAGUUGCGAACGGGUGAGUAACGCGUAGGUAACCUGCCUGGUAGCGGGGGAUAACUAUUGGAAACGAUAGCUAAUACCGCAUAAUAUUGAUUAUUGCAUGAUAAUUGAUUGAAAGAUGCUAUUGCAUCACUACCAGAUGGACCUGCGUUGUAUUAGCUAGUAGGUGAGGUAACGGCUCACCUAGGCGACGAUACAUAGCCGACCUGAGAGGGUGAUCGGCCACACUGGGACUGAGACACGGCCCAGACUCCUACGGGAGGCAGCAGUAGGGAAUCUUCGGCAAUGGACGAAAGUCUGACCGAGCAACGCCGCGUGAGUGAAGAAGGUUUUCGGAUCGUAAAGCUCGGUUGUAAGAGAAGAACGGGUGUGAGAGUGGAAAGUUCACAACGUGACGGUAUCUUACCAGAAAGAGACGGCUAACUACGUG